CGAGAAGGUCACACCCGUUCCCAUCCCGAACACGGAAGUUAAGCUUCUCAGCGCCGAUGGUAGUUGGGGCGAAAGCCCCUGUGAGAGUAGGA
rnacentral:rRNA from 1 species